rnacentral:lncRNA from 1 species
AACCCUCCGACUCCAAUCCGGACGCAAGACGCGAGAGGUGAGUGCGUGCGGCUGGUGACACGAGAGGCAACGGCGUGCGGUGCGAGGAGACGGCGUGGCGGCGCACUGACGUUGACGGCGACGGCGACAACUUCCCAUCCGACGUCCGCGCUCUCCGCUACCUUCUCGCCGAUUGUACCAGCAAUUCCUAGAAUUGGUGAAGACGAGCCGCCUCCUUCCUGGGACUUUGUUUUGACUCCGAAAGGUAUUCCAGUAGUUUUCUCCCUCCUAUUGUCCUGUUCUAUAUGGCUGCCCUGUUCUUCAAUAAAUAUAUGA